rnacentral:rRNA from 1 species
AUUGAACGCUGGCGGCAGGCCUAACACAUGCAAGUCGAACGAGUGGCGGACGGGUGAGUAAUGUCUGGGAAACUGCCUGAUGGAGGGGGAUAACUACUGGAAACGGUAGCUAAUACCGCAUACCAUCAGAUGUGCCCAGAUGGGAUUAGCUUGUUGGUGGGGUAACGGCUCACCAAGGCGACGAUCCCUAGCUGGUCUGAGAGGAUGACCAGCCACACUGGGACUGAGACACGGUCCAGACUCCUACGGGAGGCAGCAGUGGGGAAUAUUGCGCAAUGGGCGAAAGCCUGAUGGAGCCAUGCCGCGUGAAUGAAGAAGGCCUUCGGGUUGUAAAGCUCUGUCAGCGGGGAGGCGUUACCCGAAGAAGAAGCACCGGCUAACUCCGUGCCAGCAGCCGCGGUAAUUC